UUUAUUGGAGAGUUUGAUCCUGGCUCAGGAUGAACGCUGGCGGCGUGCCUAAUACAUGCAAGUCGAGCGAAUGGAUUAAGAGCUUGCUCUUAUGAAGUUAGCGGCGGACGGGUGAGUAACACGUGGGUAACCUGCCCAUAAGACUGGGAUAACUCCGGGAAACCGGGGCUAAUACCGGAUAACAUUUUGAACCGCAUGGUUCGAAAUUGAAAGGCGGCUUCGGCUGUCACUUAUGGAUGGACCCGCGUCGCAUUAGCUAGUUGGUGAGGUAACGGCUCACCAAGGCAACGAUGCGUAGCCGACCUGAGAGGGUGAUCGGCCACACUGGGACUGAGACA
rnacentral:rRNA from 1 species